rnacentral:rRNA from 1 species
UACGUAGGGUGCAAGCGUUGCUCGGAAUUAUUGGGCGUAAAGGGUAGGUAGGUGGUCUUAUUUGUCUGGGGUGAAAUCCUUGAGCUUAACUCAAGAAGUGCCUCAGAAACGGUAGGACUAGAGUUCUAGAGAGGGUCGUGGAAUUCCCGGUGUAGCGGUGAAAUGCGUAGAGAUCGGGAGGAACACCAGAGGCGAAGGCGGCGACCUGGAUAGAUACUGACACUAAACUACGAAAGCGUGGGGAGCAAACAGG